AACGAACGCUGGCGGCAUGCCUAACACAUGCAAGUCGAACGAGACCUUCGGGUCUGGUGGCGCACGGGUGCGUAACGCGGGGGAACCUGCCCUUAGGUUCGGAAUAACGCCCGGAAAGGGGUGCUAAUACCGGAUCUAGUCUUCGGACCAAAGAUUGAUCGCCUUUGGGUGGGCCCAGGUUGGAUUAGUUAGUUGGGAGGGUAAAAGCGUUCCAAGGGGACGAUGCAUAACUGGACUGGGAGGAUGAUCAGCAACACUGGGGCAGGGACAAGGCCCGGAAUUUGGAGGAAGGGAGAAAGGGGGAACAAGGGACGAUGCGCGAGUGACGGAGGCAGUAGGGCCGCGUGAGUGAUGAAGGUGUGAGGGUUGGAAAGCUCUUUUAACCGGGCUGAUAAGGAGUGUACCGGAAGAAUAAGCCCCGCUAACUUCGUU
rnacentral:rRNA from 1 species